GACAAACCAGAUGUGAGUGAGAUCGCUCAGUUUGACAUGACUAAACUGAAGAAGACUGAGACUGAGGAGAACACUCUACCUACCAAAGAGGCCGUUCUUCUCAACUACAGUCAUUGACCAGGAGAAGCAGGUGGAAUCCUAAAAUGGCUGCUGUCAUUACUCACAAGCUACAUCCCAGAGGGACUGUUUCUCAAACCUGAACUCUCCUCCAUUCUGGGCCUGAUCCUCAUGGCUGCCUAAGUCACUGACUCAAUAAAAGCCAUGUAGACUAA